rnacentral:rRNA from 1 species
CGGGUGAGUAAUGUCUGGGAAACUGCCUGAUGGAGGGGGAUAACUACUGGAAACGGUAGCUAAUACCGCAUAACGUCGCAAGACCAAAGAGGGGGACCUUCGGGCCUCUUGCCAUCAGAUGUGCCCAGAUGGGAUUAGCUAGUAGGUGGGGUAACGGCUCACCUAGGCGACGAUCCCUAGCUGGUCUGAGAGGAUGACCAGCCACACUGGAACUGAGACACGGUCCAGACUCCUACGGGAGGCAGCAUG